rnacentral:rRNA from 1 species
CGAACGCUGGCGGCGUGCUUAACACAUGCAAGUCGAACGGGCCCGCUCUCUUUUUUGGGGGUGGGUUGAGUGGCGAACGGGUGAGUAUCACGUGAGUAACCUGCCCCCUGCUCCUGGAUAACUGCUUGAAAGGGCGGCUAAUACGGGGUGUGCCGGCUGGUCCGCAUGGGCCUGGUCGGGUUAGUUUCAUCUUCGGGGGUUUCGGUGGGGGAUGGGCUCGCGGCCUAUCAGCUUGUUGGUGGGGUGAUGGCCCACCAAGGCGGUGACGGGUAGCCGGCCUGAGAGGGUGGGCGGCCACACUGGGACUGAGACACGGCCCAGACUCCUGCGGGAGGCAGCAGUGGGGGGUAUUGCGCAAUGGGCGGAAGCCUGAUGCAGCGACGUCGCGUGAGGGAUGGAGGCCUUCGGGUUGUGAACCUCUUUCUCCGGUGGUGAAGGCCCUGUCCGUUGCGGCGGGGUUGACGGUAGCCGGGUAUGAAGCGCCGGCUAACUACGUG